GGUGUAGAUUGUUGUUUCAAAUUAUUAUAAAUUUUUCUAGGACGACAGCGGCGUCUGUUAAGAAGCGCAUUUUCUCCUUGGUAACGCUUGCGCUAAGGCAGGACGCUGACCUUAGACCUACUGGACAGUAGGGAUAGUACCGUCGACAGCGGGAGAGAACUUGGGAACCUCUGAAAUUGCUAGGAGUUAGAGUCUCCUAUUUUUGCGCUUUUUGGGUAUGCUGGCAAAUUAAGUUAGGUUUAGAGAUCUGGACAGGACAGUCUGGGACCGCCCUGGUGAAUUGAGCACAAAAAGUCUGGGACUGAUCGGUUGGAGCCGUUAUGUUCUAUUAUCGAAAUUACAUAGGAGUUGAAAAGGCCUAAAAAAAUCUGUGCAGUUGUAAUUUAAGACGUCUGUAAUAUAAAAUAUGAGAUCUAUGAGUAGGAUCAGUCUCUGUGUUAGUGAUGCACAGCCGGAUGUGCACUGAUUGUGUGUGUAAAUGCAAAUGAGCAGCAGUGACGCGCAAAGAGGGUGGUUUCAGUUUUCGAGAGGACUGAGCUUUUGCUAAAUGCCUGUAUAUAAGAGGUUGGUUUUGCUUAUUAUGAGAGUGUAAAUACAGUGUGAAUAUAUUAGUGUGGAUGCAUAGUAAAUGACUGAAUUUUGAUAGAUGUAUAGUUCGUGAGCCAUAAAUGUUGGUGUGUUCAUUUUCAGUUAUGUGUGUGGGGAGAAGCCGUGAGGAUGAUGAGAGGUUUCAGUUUUCUUUUUCUUUUUCUUUUGACUUGCUCUUUCUGAUCAUGGAAGGCAUGUCCAAAAUACUCGUAUGAAAGCGUAUUUCGAGUGAUUUUAACUGUGUGAGUGCUGUCAGUAUUUGAUUUGAGUGACUCUGCGUGAGUUCUCUGAGUGAGAGAAAGGCAGUGCGUGUGAGACGAUUUAUGGCGUCUGAAAGAGGUGAGAACUUUUAAAGGUGUGUAUGGAAUAAAGGAGUGUGAAAUAUAUUUCUUGGGUGAUGAAAAAGUAGGAUGUGCUAAAGUUUGAAAGUGUUUUUAAUUCAAGAAAACAAAAAACAAAGGAGUUAGAUUAGUUUGAGGAACAGGAAAUAUUGCUCUGUGUAUCGGGGCUGCAGCAACAGGAAAUAGUGAACAGGAACUGUGCAUGCCCAUAUAUGGGAACUGAGUGUGUGCAGAAAGAACACAGAGAGACAGACGAGGAAAUGGGAGCAAAUGAAGCCUUUAAGAAAAAAUGAAUAUAAUACUAAUUAUAUGGUCAAUACAGGUGGGCGUCUUUCAACUUUGCAACCUUGAGUUCAGCAGCAGAAAAGUAGAUUAAAAGAAUUGGGAGAAUAAGCCAGUUUUGGCUCGAAAUUGUGCGGCUGGAUCUCUCACUUUGUCCCUGAAGCGGAGAAGAAGUUCAAAGGACAGUCAAUCGCCUGAUGAAGACCGAUAGAACAUCGUGGAUUUGAAUACAGCAGGCAAACGGCAGUGCCACUGAUCCAGUAACACUGAUGACGACUGACGACCAGCAGCAGCAUGUAAGAGUAAUGUAACAUGUACUGUGAAAAUACAGGCUGGGCAGUUGAACAGUGGGAUAAAGAAUUGUGGAAGAGCACUGGACAUUGAGUGAUAUUUUGCCCUGCUGGGACUUAAUCUGAAAGAAAGACUGUAAAGAAACAGAGAAGAAGACAGCAGCUGAGUUGAGACUGUGUUUGCUGGAGCUUUGAAGCCCGAACAGGACAUUGUGCAGAGAGGACCAGUGAGAGAUGAAGCUGGACGAGUUUGACUGCGAGAAUAUAGGAUAUAAUUGGAUUGAAAAUUGAAACCUGAACUCAUGAAUUGUUUAGGGAUGUCCACUACAGCAUAACAAAGAGGUAAACAUUAGAAAAGGUAGGAAUAAUGAACGAAAAUAAUUGUCAUUACCUUAAUGAAUAGAAAACACACAUACAAAUUGUUACAUGUGAGAUUAUUUUUGAAAUGAAUCAGAAGUGAGAUAGUUUGAAUCUAAAGCUCAGUGGUGAAAUGCAUAAAUUAAAUAUGAAUAUAUCGGAUGCAAUGAAGAAACAGCUUACACGUAGUGUACAUUAACAUGAAUACAUCGCAGGGCAACGAAGAACUCAAUGAGUUAAUUUAAUGAAGAAGCAGUUUACACCCAAUUAACAUAAAAUGCAGGGAAGAACACGCUUACAUGCAUGGCAUAAUUGGUGUUUCUGACCAGAGACAGAGAAAUGGGUUAUUUAAGCACUUGUGAUAAUAAUGGAAAUGUCUUAGUUUUGUUAUUUUCAGGGUAAAGCAGACCUGGACCAGUUCUCCAGAUGCACCAGUCGGAAGGAAAUUGUAGAUAAGUUAAGGCAAGUUUCUGGUUGAAUUGUUCACAGAAUCAUGUGUCCAUGAACCUGGAAAACAGGCCCUAGCUCCUGGCUGAAGACUAGGAGUGCUUUAUUUAAGGUGGGAAAUCAAAAUGUGGGUUAGUAACUGGGGGAAAAAGAAAACUGACUGCUUAACUGGAGAAUUGGGAAGGAGUUUGGGAGACUGUGAAGCCAUAGAUGCAAAAUAACACGUACACACACAUAUAGACAGAGAAUGCAUUAAUCUUACAGAGACAAGCUCAUGAAGAUUAAUGAAUAGAUAUUAAAAACCUGGCUAAGAACACAAGCAUAUGCAAUGAAGAUCUGCUUGCUGCUUGUAUGAGUGAGAGAAUGGUGUGAAUGGUUAAUACAACUGAUGGAAAGAUUUAAAAUAGAUGGAAAAAACAAAAGAAGAGUGUUUAUAAGAGUGACUCAGCAGUGCUUUUGCACUGAGUGAUUAAAACAAGUGAUUAGUAUAGAAAGAAAAUGAAAAUAAUUCAAUAAUGUGAUAAAGUUUAAACAUGUAUUCCUCUUGUUAAGUUGGCUGUUGAGCUGUGGGUUUAUGCAAAUUAGCUGGAGUGAGUGAGUGACAAAGACACUUCCUGUGUGCGUGUGUGUCGGAGGCUUUCGGUUCAGUUCAAGAGAGAGCAGUGGCUGUUGAAGAGUAUUGGGAGAAAUAUAUAAUGGUAAAGUAUCAGGAUAUUUGAUUACGGUGGUCAGGUCUGUUCAGAGGGGCAGAUUUGGACAGGAAAUUUAUAAUUUAAGGAUGAUACGUUGUUGAAAUUGGUUUUUAUCUUGUGCUGAAUGAAAACGGUCUUUGAUCUUUUGACGAGGUUUUCGGUGUGUUGAAUGGGUGAAAUUUAAGAUUGUUUCAGAUUUUUGAGGCUGUUGUUUUAUUUCCAGAGAGGGUGUUUAAUUAAGACAUGGAUCUGUCUGAGAGGGGCCCCAAAAAUUUUUUUUGUAGUAGUGCACUCAGGAAAAAACCUGUCAGGUGAUUUUGUUUGGUACUUUGAUGAGCUAAUAAUCAGCUCUCUUUUUUCAUUUUUGUUCUAAGCAGGCCUGGAAGAGAGUGAACGGACGGCGCUGACAAAAUUACCAAGUACGAAAAUCAGGUGGGCUUUACAGAAUUAUAAUUGAUUACAAUCAGAGACGGAUGGGCGGCAAGUCUCUGUCUAAAAAUGGGUUGUAUCGAUUCAAUCCAGUCAAAAGUAUAGAGAACUAUUUUCCUAAAAAGGAAAACGAAAUAAAACAAAGGAUUGAGCUCAUUUUGCUGAUGUGGAGCAUCUGAUGACGUCGCAUGAAGGCUGCAGUAUCAGCAAAAAAUAUCAGGUGUGAAUGCGUGUGAGUGAAUGUGAGUGAGGGGACCAAGGGGGGAAAUAAAUGAAAGGACAAGUGGGAGACUUAAAUCUGGGGAUGCUGAUUUUGGGUUGCUGAUGUAUGUUUGGAGAAAAUUUCUUUUUACUGGGGUUAGAUUAUGGGAUUACAUUAUAUUGUUGGGAGAAUGCAAAAUGCUAAAAGGGAAACAUUGGUUGAUGAGAUUCAAGUUACCAUUAACUGAGGUAACACAUGAUUAAUAACUGUGCUGUUUAAGUUUAUUUUGUGUCAUGACACAGAUUGGAUCACAUAGGGGGAGAGUUGAGUAAAGGUUUUGUUUUCAGGAAAUUCCAAGGAUCCAGAGUUCAAUGGAGCAACGAGUUGGAGGAGAUUUGACAUGAUGAUUAAAUUGAUUUUGUUCCUUAAACACAGGUUUUCAGGGCUGAAGCAAAACACCGGAGAGGAGAAUUGCUGAGCGGUUCUGGGAAAUGAAAUGACUAACCUUUUUUCCUUUUAAUUUGUUAAGCUUGGGUGGAGCAUGUUGAGUUUUUUGCCACAUGAGAUGUGUCAAAAAAGAGAGGGAUUUAAGAUUUAAUUUGUUUAAUGUGAAAGGGGUUUUACUAGGAUUUUAUAAUGAUUGGGGUUGUUUGAUAAUCUAGAUACAGUAAAACUGAGGCGGAGAUUGUUAAUUCUAAAGAAAGGAGUAAAAUGAACUGAAUUCUGUUUAGAAGAUAAAUUGCUGGGGUUAAAAAGAAGUUGUACACCAAAUUUAAAGGGAAAUUGUGGGAAUAAAGGAUAUGCUUUGGGGAAAAUAGUGAACAUUUUAUGAGUAGAAAAUGUGGGAUUUUUCUUUUUGAUUUUUAGGAUAAGUGGUAACAGUGACAUAAUGUUAGAAUGUUGUUAUUUUUAGGGUAGUGGAGAGCUUUUUAUGAGGAUGUUAAAAGUCUCGCUGACUCAAAUGAAUAAUAUUGGAGAUUAUAUAUGUAGAAAUGAUUUUUCAUACACAUUGCAUUUUGGGGCCUUUAACGGAGUUGUGGCUCAGAGAGUCGUCUCUUGAGGGUCAUAAACUUUUGGUUAACGUUAUGAUUAGCCAAUCUACUGUGAGAAUGACCUGAGUUUUGAAGGAUUGCACACGCUUACAGACAUACAGAGUUCAUCAACACACAGGACAGUAUUGAUUUGAGGCCUAGGGCCUGAAAUUCCUUUAGCUUUUAACUGAAUUUGAGUUGGCCCAAUAACAAAUGACAGAAAGAGGAACUGAAUAGGAGUUUUGCUUGUAACUAAACUGAGUGACAUAUAAAAUAUUGAGAUAACAGAUGCAGCUCUAACUUAGUCCUCUUAUAUAAAAAGCAGUUACAGAAUACAGAAAUACAGAAAACAGAAGCAAAGGGAGAAAGCUUAUAUAUGUUGGUUAAGUCUGAUAAAGUUUAAGUUAGAGGGAGGCAUUACAUUAAAAGCAGCAAAAUGAAAUAAAAUGAUAUAUUCAAACAGGUUAUUACCCAGAAAAUGGGAGUUCAAAAUACUGUUAGAGUUCAGUUUUUAGCUAUGAUGAAGUUUAUCUAGGAGCAAUUAACUAUGUGCUUACACUUAGUGAUUAAAGUGGUCGUUUUUUCUUUGAUCCUUUUAGUAGAAUAAGCCGUUAUAAUGAUUUUAUGAUGAUUUUGCUGGUGAGAGGUGACUUUAGAUGAGAGGCACUUGCAGCAGCAGGGACAGUUUUGUGCACAGGAUGUUGAUGAUCAGAUAAGGAAAAACAGGAAACGUAUGACAGCAGUGCUGUAAGACUGUUAGAAAGCUGUAGAUUGAGAUGAGUGAUGUUUAAGAUUAUAUAGGAAUAAAAGUCAAAACCAAAUACAAAAUUAGGUUCAUGUUUUGAGUAACAUUAGGUUUGAAUAAAGAAGACAAUUGAGGGACCCAGAAAAGGGACAGACCACUAGAGAUUCACAAGUGUAAGGGGUCUUUCACCGGGUAUGAGUGGGUUCUGGGGUGAGGGAGGAGUGCUGAUUGAGCUCUGCUCGCACUCUUAUUCUCUCAUGCCCCUGAUCAACUUUAGGCUCGCUGAUACUUUGGUGUGAUUAACCUCAAGCAUGAGUGUUCUCAAGUGGGAGCGGGCAUUUUAUAACUAAGACCACCUAGAUGACAUGAGGUUGUCUGAUUUGUUAAGUCACAGGAUGCCAAGAGAGGGUCAGAGCUAAGAACAGUGAUCCUAAAUGUCCAUGAUGUCUGGGAUGGACAGGGGAGCAGCUGAAUGGGCCAAGCAGUGACCUAACACACAGUAUGGUGACCUCUUGUGGUCAAGAGGUCAAGAGUGGGAGUGUCAGGAAUAGAAAUAUUGUCCUGCUAUUAGUUGCUGCUAUUUUUAUAAUCAUCAUUAACAUUUCAGUAUUAAUAGUGAGGUUGCAUUCAGAUGCAUUCAGAUGUUCAAAUAUAUGGUUAUAGCCUUUAUUACAGGUCCAAAGAAGAACCAUUUUAAAUGGUUCUGUUGAAUCUAUAAUUUAAAUGUUAUUAAUGCUUUUAUGAUCUCUGUGUAGAGGGCAGAGACAGGAAAAUACUCUCUGUGCUAAAAUGAGAGAGGAAACAAAACGCGUCUGCAGAGCAUGUUUUGCAGAAGUGAAACUGAAGCCAGAAGUUUAAGUGCAAGGGUGUUUAGUAUGCAUUUAUUGCGGAUUAAGCCUUAAGCAGUUGUGGUAGAUUGAAACAGUUGUUUAUAUAUUUCACAUAUAAGUCAAGAUCAUUACACACAGGAUGGCCUUAGCCUGGUUGGUUGCUUAAGUUGAGGUCAACUAAGGUUCAGAAAGCAGAUGCAAACUCUGCACGCACAGACAGACAAAUAGUGAGAGGUCAUGACACGUACAUGUAGCAUACACUGCAGACACAUACACACAGAAAUGCAGAAGUGUGCCGACGUACUUAGAGGAAGUGCACCAGACGAGCGACAGCGAAGAGGGGAAGCACCGACCCGAAGACAAUGUUUUUUAGAGCAAUGUUAAAGGUCAGGGAACAUUUUGUGGUUUGGAUUGACGUAAGCUGUACUAUUGUCUAUUUUUGUAAAAGAGGGGGGCUUUGUUAUUGUACCCAUAUAGAACCUUGUCUCAUGAUUGUAAGUUCAGUUCAACACUGAUUGGGUUGUUGAACUCACACAUGUGUUCAUUAAAAUGCCGUCUAAAUUGCACACGCCUGGAUCUGUGGUUUUUAUGGAUUCUUCUCUCAAUAUUGAACCCUAACAACACCCCCAGACCAUCUCAGGCUUGCCUUUUUUGCUCCACUUGUGUUGGUCACUCCCAAUGAGUUUUCGCAUUUUAGGGCUGGUUGGCUCUGUAUAAAUUAUAAGCAUGAUUGUGUCUUUGUAGUACAUGUAUUUGAACUUAACCACU
ensembl:lncRNA